rnacentral:rRNA from 1 species
UACGGAGGGUGCAAGCGUUAUCCGGAUUCACUGGGUUUAAAGGGUGCGUAGGUGGGCAGGUAAGUCAGUGGUGAAAUCUCCGAGCUUAACUCGGAAACUGCCGUUGAUACUAUUUGUCUUGAAUAUUGUGGAGGUAAGCGGAAUAUGUCAUGUAGUGGUGAAAUGCUUAGAUAUGACAUAGAACACCAAUUGCGAAGGCAGCUUACUACACAACGAUUGACGCUGAGGCACGAAAGCGUGGGGAUCAAACAGG